GAAUCGGGUUAUAGAUGGUUUUCUAUUGAAGAACUGCAAAUUCUUUCAUCUAGGGUUCAAUUCCCUCUCGAUUCU
rnacentral:tRNA from 1 species